CAAAAAUAACAAAAUGAAGUAUUUUGUACACACCUUUCAUUUCUUGAUCAUGAUCAUCAUGGCGUAAAACAACUGCCUUAACACCCAUGUUAGUUUUUAGCUUGUCUAUUUGGUCGUCCAUCAGUGCAUUUAACGGAGAAAUCACGAUUACAAUUGUUUCUGUUCACACGGCAGAAAUAUUUCUUUUUCUCGAAUUAAUGUAGUUGAACAUGGAAGGUAAAAGUUGGUAUAUCAACGAUUUAACAUCCCUUCCAUUUACUAUUUGACGAACAGCUUCUUUCUGCUCUUCCUUUAACUUAAUUUGAGUAUUAUUUGUUUUUACAAGUGCAAAAUAUAUUGCUUCUUGUAGUAAGCCUUCCUUGCAUACAUUGCGGUCGCCAUGUUUUUAGGGAGAAAGGCAUAUCCUG